GUAACACUCCGGCUGACGAAACUCUGAUGUUUUGUCUUGCCUAACCCAGCGAAGCAUUUGUGCUUCGGCAAGACAAAACAUGAGAGUCUCAUUAGCCGGAGUGGCACACGCCGUGAGGACAAGGUUGUUGGGUUCGAACCUUACUCUGUUCCCUUUUAAAUGUAAUUAUUUGGAAAAAAUAAAAAACUUCUACCGUGCUCUGUUCUGGGGUGUGUCGCCGGCAGCCAAGCACCUCAUAAAGAAGAUGCUCUGCAAGGACGUCUCCAGAAGAUUGUCCGCCGACCAAGUCCUAAGGAUGUCGAUCAGAGGAGAACCGGUCUCGGAAGACUAAGAGACGGGGCAGUUUCCAAUUUUCUCUUUUUUUCUCUCUUGCAGAUAAUAAUAAUUGUAACGAUAUGGGAUAUUAUGUUUAUUGUAUAAAAAAAGAAAAUUACUAUUACAGUGCUAA